GUUAUAUGGUCAAGCGAAUAAGCGCACACGGUGGAUGCCUUGGCGGUCAGAGGCGAUGAAGGACGUGGCAGCCUGCGAAAAGUAUCGGGGAGCUGGCAACAAGCUUUGAUCCGGUAAUGUCCGAAUGGGGAAACCCACCCGCUUGCGGGUAUCCUGCAGUGAAUACAUAGCUGCUGGAAGCGAACCUGGUGAACUGAAAUAUCUAAGUAACCAGAGGAAAAGAAAUCAACCGAGAUUCCGUAAGUAGCGACGAGCGAACGCGGACUAGCCCUUAAGCUGAUUUGGUUCUAGGAAAACGCUCUGGAAAGAGCGGCCAUAGAAGGUGAUAGCCCUGUAUCUGAAAGGGCCAUUUCAGUGAAGACGAGUAGGGCGGGGCACGUGAAACCCUGUCUGAACAUGGGGGGACCAUCCUCCAAGGCUAAAUACUACUGACCGACCGAUAGUGAACCAGUACCGUGAGGGAAAGGCGAAAAGAACCCCGGAGAGGGGAGUGAAAUAGAACCUGAAACCGUGUGCGUACAAGCAGUAGGAGCUCCGCAAGGAGUGACUGCGUACCUUUUGUAUAAUGGGUCAGCGACUUACUGUUCGUGGCAAGCUUAACCGUAUAGGGGAGGCGAAGGGAAACCGAGUCUGAUAAGGGCGCAUAGUCGCGGGCAGUAGACCCGAAACCGGGUGAUCUAGUCAUGCCCAGGGUGAAGGUGCGGUAACACGCACUGGAGGCCCGAACCCACUCCCGUUGCAAAGGUAGGGGAUGAGGUGUGAUUAGGAGUGAAAAGCUAAUCGAACCCGGAGAUAGCUGGUUCUCCUCGAAAGCUAUUUAGGUAGCGCCUCAUAUGUAUCCUCUCGGGGGUAGAGCACUGUUAUGGCUAGGGGGUCAUCGCGACUUACCAAACCAUUGCAAACUCCGAAUACCGAGACGGACUGUAUGGGAGACACACGGCGGGUGCUAACGUCCGUCGUGAAAAGGGAAACAACCCAGACCCACAGCUAAGGUCCCAAAUUUUGUGCUAAGUGGAAAACCAUGUGGAAAGGCACAGACAGCCAGGAGGUUGGCUUAGAAGCAGCCACCCUUUAAAGAAAGCGUAAUAGCUCACUGGUCGAGUCGGUCUGCGGGGAAGAUUUAACGGGGCUAAGCACAGAACCGAAGCUUGGGGUGCAUAACUUUGUUAUGCGCGGUAGAGGAGCGUUCCGUAAGCCGUUGAAGGUGGAUUGAGAAGUCUGCUGGAGGUAUCGGAAGUGCGAAUGCUGACAUGAGUAACGAUAAUGCGGGUGAAAAACCCGCACGCCGAAAGCCCAAGGUUUCCUUGCGCAACGUUAAUCGGCGCAGGGUGAGUCGGCCCCUAAGGCGAGGACGAAAGUCGUAGUCGAUGGGAAGCAGGUUAAUAUUCCUGCACCUCGCGUAAGUGCGAUGGAGGGACGGAGAAGGUUAGGUGUACCAGGCGUUGGUUGUCCUGGGGAAAGGCGGUAGGUUUGGAUCUUUGGCAAAUCCGGGAUCCUCUAAGACCGAGCACCGAGACGAGCCUUUAUGGCGAAGUCACUGAUACCACGCUUCCAGGAAAAGCUCCUAAGCUUCAGCUUACGCAGACCGUACCGUAAACCGACACAGGUGGGUAGGAUGAGAAUUCUCAGGCGCUUGAGAGAACUCGGGUGAAGGAACUAGGCAACAUGGCACCGUAACUUCGGGAGAAGGUGCACCCUUUUUGGUGGCUCGUGCGAGCUAUAGCUGAAGAGGGUCGCAGUAACCAGGCCGCUGCGACUGUUUAUCAAAAACACAGCACUCUGCAAACACGAAAGUGGACGUAUAGGGUGUGACGCCUGCCCGGUGCUGGAAGGUUAAUUGAUGGGGUCAGCCGCAAGGCGAAGCUCUUGAUCGAAGCCCCAGUAAACGGCGGCCGUAACUAUAACGGUCCUAAGGUAGCGAAAUUCCUUGUCGGGUAAGUUCCGACCUGCACGAAUGGCGUAACGACAGCGGCGCUGUCUCCACCCGAGACUCAGUGAAAUUGAAAUCGCUGUGAAGAUGCAGCGUUCCCGUGGCAAGACGGAAAGACCCCGUGAACCUUUACUAUAGCUUUACACUGAACGUUGAGUUCGUCUGUGUAGGAUAGGUGGGAGGCUAUGAAACCAUGGCGCUAGCUGUGGCGGAGCCAUCCUUGAAAUACCACCCUGUCGUGCUUGACGUUCUAACCUGGGCCCAUUAUCUGGGUCGGGGACCGUGUAUGGUGGGUAGUUUGACUGGGGCGGUCUCCUCCUAAAGAGUAACGGAGGAGCUCGAAGGUACGCUCAGCGCGGUCGGACAUCGCGCACUGUGUGCAAAGGCAUAAGCGUGCUUGACUGCAAGAUCGACGGAUCAAGCAGGUAGGAAACUAGGACUUAGUGAUCCGGUGGUUCUGUAUGGAAGGGCCAUCGCUCAACGGAUAAAAGGUACUCCGGGGAUAACAGGCUGAUACCGCCCAAGAGUUCAUAUCGACGGCGGUGUUUGGCACCUCGAUGUCGGCUCAUCACAUCCUGGGGCUGUAGUCGGUCCCAAGGGUAUGGCUGUUCGCCAUUUAAAGUGGUACGCGAGCUGGGUUCAGAACGUCGUGAGACAGUUCGGUCCCUAUCUGCCAUGGGCGUUGGAGAUUUGAGAGGGGCUGCUCCUAGUACGAGAGGACCGGAGUGGACGAACCUCUGGUGUUCCGGUUGUCACGCCAGUGGCAUUGCCGGGUAGCUAUGUUCGGAAGCGAUAACCGCUGAAAGCAUCUAAGCGGGAAGCGCGCCUCAAGAUGAGAUCUCCCGGGGCACAAGCCCCCUGAAGGAACCAUGUAGACUACGUGGUUGAUAGGUCAGGUGUGUAAGUACAGCAAUGUAUUGAGCUAACUGAUACUAAUGAUCCG
rnacentral:rRNA from 1 species